rnacentral:miRNA from 1 species
UUUUAGGAGGUCAAAAUCGCGU